GUGCUCGCUGCGGCAGCACCUAUACUGAAAUCGGAACGAUACAGAGAAGAUUAGCAUGCCCCUGCGCAAGGAUGACGCGCAAAUUCAUGAAGCGUUCCAUAUUAAA